AGUGAACGCUGGCGGUAGGCCUAACACAUGCAAGUCGAACGGCAGCACAGAGGAGCUUGCUCCUUGGGUGGCGAGUGGCGGACGGGUGAGGAAUACAUCGGAAUCUACUCUGUCGUGGGGGAUAACGUAGGGAAACUUACGCUAAUACCGCAUACGACCUACUGGUUGAAGCAGGGGAUCUUCGGACCUUGCGCGAUUGGAUGAGCCUAUGUCGGAUUAGCUAGUUGGCGGGGUAAAGGCCCACCAAGGCGACGAGCCGUAGCUGGUCUGAGAGGAUGAUCAGCCACACUGGAACUGAGACACGGUCCAGACUCCUACGGGAGGCAGCAGUGGGGAAUAUUGGACAAUGGGCGCAAGCCUGAUCCAGCCAUACCGCGUGGGUGAAGAAGGCCUUCGGGUUGUAAAGCCCUUUUGUUGGGAAAGAAAUCCAUCUGGUUAAUACCCGGGUGGGAUGACGGUACCCAAAGAAUAAGCACCGGCUAACUUCGUGCCAGCAGCCGCCGUAA
rnacentral:rRNA from 1 species